CAAUCAGUUUCAGUUCUUCACAAUUCUUGAAUGCAAGAGAAACUACUUGAGAAAAAAAGGGGGGGGCUAGUUCUAACUCAAGUCAAAAUCCUCCAGAGCAUUUACAUUGUACAACUUGGCUGGAAGAUUUAGGUCGUCAAUUGUCUUUGUGCAAUUUCAGACGAAAAAGUAGCGGCAUUUAGCGAAACUACCACUGUCCAUGUAAGGAGCUUAUAAAUUCUGACACUAUCACUCUCUCAAUCGCGUUUGAGAAUCCAUUUUUUUGGAAGAAAAUCUCCCACCAAAUCCUUGCAAUAUGUCCCCGGGGAAAGAUCAAAAUCAGGUUUUGAGAGAUCUAGAGGAGAGGUUUGUCCAAGCCUGGAGGUUAAAGUCAUUUGCAAAUAUGGAUUUGAAAGGGGGACCUGAGAGUGUUGGAGCCAAGAUCAAUUAAGAACUGCAAUUCCAGCAUCCCAAUCGUCAUCUUACUACGAUUUGCAAGUGUUGACUUACAGAUGCAGAUGGCAGCCAGCAUUCUCACACUCUCAUCUGGAGGCUCACAAUCCGGAAAGAACGGCUUGGCCAUGUAUUUAGCGAAUGUUAAAGCCACAAUAGUGAUUGUACAAGGCCGCACGAUGAUGCACUCGGCCCACAAUCGGAUGAACCCGACGAAGGGUCCAAAAGUGUCCAGGAUGUAUGUGUAAUCCCCACCGGUCUUCUUGAUCAUGCAACCCAAUUCCGCGUAGCAAUAAGCGCCAAUCAUGGAGAACACGCCGCAAAUGAUCCAGACCACUAAAGCCAUAUUGAUGGAACCCGUGCCCAAGAGCACGCCACCGGGAGCAAUGAAUAUCCCGGAUCCGAUAAUGCAUCCCACGAUCACAGUACAACCUUGGACCAGGCCCAAAGUAGGUUUGAGUCCAACUCCACCGUCGUCCUCCUCUAAUUCCAUUUGUUCCACCUUCCGUUUGGCGGCCUCAUUUUGAGGCACGGAUUGAUAGUCCGCGGACAUCUUUGGAUGGGGUCGAGUUGAAUGAAACUAUCGCUCCCGAUUUGACAGAUACAGUAAGGAUUGCUUGUUUAGAUAGAGUUAUUGGAUAAAAUAUCUAGAACAGGGUGCAUCAGUAAUCACUUUUGGUCUACAUUUCGCUGAGCGAUAGAAAUUAGAAUCCGAAUGAUUUACCACGCUUUGAAUUUGCUGAAUUUGAGUGAUGAAUGAGGGAUAACAAGUUUAUGGAGCAUGCUCAAAAACUGUAAAAUCAUCCCCUUUUUCUGUAGUUGACACAUGAAGCGUCUUGAAAGGGUCAAAGGUCAAGAAUGUUAUAAUGUGCAGCAUCUCUUUUCUCUUAUUUUCACAAUGAAUGCGUGAGAGAAUGAGAGACCAACCCAAUGAGAGAAAAUGUUUCCCCAGAGUGCUCUUUGAUGAGUUCGUCUCAAGGGCUCCUUUAUCCAAAGCCAAACAAACACCAAGAUUACCACCCAACCACCUACUCGUUCACUUCAAUUUGGGUUGGAUGUACAUGAUCGAGUGCCAAAUAAAACCAGUCCGACGGAGUACAAGUGUGGUGGCAAAUCUUCCACAUUGCGGACGUAUUUCUUGCUUGUGUUGAUUUUCAGGUGGAUGUGGUCGCCACAGGUGGUUCUCUUUUAUGGAUAAUCAUCAUGGACUACCACGUGAAUUUAUGACCAUUUCUUUUCCCUCCUCUAUCGAACAAACCAUCAACCAUUCACCCUCUCGGUUGCUAACAACCACCUGCUUCAAAAUUCAUGAGAAAAAGAGCCCGAGCCUGGGUCACUUUUCCAUUGGCUCCUUUGUCUCAAAACCAAUCUGAAGGGUUUUUUUUUAAUAAAAAAAAUUCUGACCAACCCUGUACAUUCUUGCCUCUCUUCAGAUGUAUGUUGAAUAAUGAAUGUUCGAUUAGGAUUGGCUCAGGGCUUCUCAACUCUGUACCAAAGGUACACAGUGUCUUUUAAAAAAACAAGCUUUCUCAUUUUAGUCUUCAAAAUGCCAAAAUGAACCGAUUUUCCGAUCCAAUGCAGUACAAAUUGAAAGGCUCUCAAACCCCGUGGUAUCUGCCAAACCCUUUAGUAUGUUGUGUCCGAUGCACUGAAGUCAAUGAUUCAAAACACCACGUGUCAAGAUGAGAAGCUCAACCCAGAGAAGUCAUGUCUUUGUAAUCCAACAAUUCACACCAAGCACGUCAUGACGAUCAGGACCGGGCGAUAACGAAAACCGGACUAAAACUCCAUCCAGGGAUCGAGAGAGAAUCGGAGGAAUCUCAACACAUCCACACACUCUCUCAAUUCUUUUAUGUACGGGUACUUCUUGGAAGCACCGCAAGAAAGACGAGAGGAGUACGCACGAACCCGAGGAACAAGCGCUGACGAGCACAGAGAUGGUUAGAGAGGCCAGCCAGAGACGGCUCGAUUCCACUUGCUGACGUUCAAAUGGACCCGCUUUUUGAAUGAGAUAUAUCCUCAAAAUGCCCCUAGAGCUCGCCACAGAUGAUUGCUCUAUUUGAUCCCGGUUUCUCGUUCAGUUAUCACUUCAUGCCACUUAACCACACGACCUCCCCCGUUCAACGAUGUCACUCUUGAUCAAACGAUCAAAUGAUCUUGUCACGAACACACCCGAAGUUGUGGAAGUUUUAAUUCGCUUGAACAAGGAAGGCGAGAUUCUGGAGUAGAAGAGGAGCUCUGAUCUGGAUCGUGGUUGGAAAGUCAAGAUAAACAGGUGUUUAGGCCCCGUCAGCACCAACAACAACGACGACGACUUCUACCCUCACGGUGUUCAUGAUGAUCAAUGCUAGACAUUAAAAAAAAGCGCACUCUCCGCUUGCUUUCUGGGGCUUCACUCCCGUUUUUGGGAUGUGGAGCGUGUAGUAAAUGUAGUAUAUGCUGUUCAUACAGUGAAUGGAGGCUCUUCCCAUUUCUUGUGUACGUACGGUGUGAAGUGUGUACGUAGUAUUGUGUAGUUUAUGUAUGUACAGAACGACACGACAUGUUAUGGAGCUGUGGAACAUGGAGCAGGUAUGAAAUGCAUUGGCCAUGUGGCAAUCCUGACCAUAAGGCUAGGGAACCUUUCUUCGUUUCAGGACGACGGAACAUGUUCGCAUGGCAAGGACUUCUUGUGUGAUGGAUGGGGAUGAAGGCACGACUAAUUCAUCAAUUCAUUAUAAACCUGAUUAAUUACUGAUUUGGACCGUUUAACAGAUAAUUAUUUGAAUAAAUGAACAAUGCCCUUGAACUUUGAUCCACAUGUAAGGAAAAUGCCAAAAAAAUAGUCAGUCAUGUAUAAAUAGACACCUGAAGUAAGUAUCAGCGGUUGCAAUACCCGGAAAGGUUUCCACAAGUCUUAUCAUUCUGUCAAAUGGUCAUUGUAUUCAAAUUUGAAUACAAGUAUUACUGGACCACGUAAAAGAGUAGUAUUAGAGAUAUGGUGUAAAACAAAAAGCAUACGAAAAUGCCUCUACAACUAUCCCUUUUUCUAAAUUGUUUCAACAGACAUUUUGCCAAAAAUGCCUUCUGAGCAAAAACUAAAAUAAAAAGCCUCAAUGCGGAUCAAGCUUUCCCAGCACAUCAGAAUGCAAAUUCAAUGAGCAUCAAAUUCAGAUUGAAUAUCCUCUCUGAAUAACCGUUAUAAAGUUAUGUAUAGAGUUUGGAAAGAUAGUGUUUUAGGUCAAAUUAAGU